GCCAUAGCAAAGCUCCCUGACUGUAACUCCAUGUAAAGUGUAAUUACGGCAACACAAGCAUAAAAUUACCAAGGACAAGAAGCUGCAAAAUAAAGAAAUUGACUUGCCUAGGAUCACAGAACUAUGGAUUAGGCCUCCUAAAUCUUCCCACCUUCUAGUCCCAGUGCUUUUUCUCCUGCAACACACUGACCCUUGACAUUCUGGUUUCCUAAGCUUCAAAAUCAAGACUCACUACAAAAGUCCAUGUGUUGGAAUGGAUGUGAAUUGUCCCAACCUCAGUGCCACUGACCUCCAGGAGGUGAUCAAGAUGGCAAGGAGAUUCAAAACCAGACUAUCUGAGGAUUGGUUGAAGGAACUAAGAAUAUUUAUACUAUGGAAAAGAAGAUAUGGAGGAACCAUGGUGUAUAGGAGAGUGUCAAACAUGCAGCCUACCUCAUGCAGCCUGAACCAGAUUAAAAUGCAUCUGGGAAAUAUGUAACAAAAUAAAUAAAAACACAAUA